GGCGGUGGCGUGUAGAGGCGAGCCCCGCACCCGGCUGCGCGGGUUCCCUGAACGCUCACAGCGCGAGAGGUGAGCACGUCUUCGUCUUGUAGGGGCAAGACGACGUGCAGCCCAGGCAGAGAACGAAGGUGUAGCCCAGGGUGAAGCCCUCGGACAUGGCUCUUGGGCCCUACGCUCUGUGCUACAGAGAAGGGCGUGGACGCGAAGAGCUCCAGGAAGACCAGCCCUAAAGAAACAUAACUACCUUCUCAGAUUCGCUGGGACUCACUGGCCACGAGAUCAGACCUGAGCUGUUUCAGAGAGCAUGAAAAGCUGCGGCUGCAGGGCUAGAACAGGCAUUCCCCACUCCUACCCUUGUCUCCACGUCAGUCCACUCAGACUCCGUCCCGUCGGGCUGGGCUGGCGCUGCUGUGGAAGAUCUGCGUUUCCGACUGUGGAAAAGGGAAACGUGGUGCAACAGUUAUUUUUGCAUCUGAGAAUAGGAGAAUUAGAAAUAGGAAAAUACCAUAUAUACGUCGAGAGAAUUAAGGAUACACUCUGUAGGACAGUCUGUCCCUCAAGCAUGGGCAGUGAGACAAUGACAGCUCUCUAAAGAAAGGCAGCUGAUGGCUACUUACCCAGUUGGUGAUUCUUGUUUUACAGUCUCAAUAUCAGUAAACUGGACGGAUUGUCCACCACCCCUUGUUUUAAAAACAUCACCCUACAGCCAAGAGAAAAGGUCACCAUUACACUUUGAUACAUCCAGCUGAUGUACACAAGUAUGUGUCAAAUUGCAUUUAAGACUCCUGUCUUACGGGAACUCCCACCCACCAAACCAGGCGGCGCCUGGACGGCUGGGUCUGCACCACUCAAGUACAUUGAGAUUUGCAUUCCUGGACGGCUGGGUCUGCACCACUCAAGUACAUUGAGAUUUGCAUUCCCGCCCUUCACUAAACGCAAGUCCAGUGCCGUGUAAUCAGCAGCAGUCUUAACUGCAGAAAAUAACAUUCCUUUUUGUUCAGCCCAUUUAAAAACUUAACUAAAGAUCAAGAAAUCUACCAGCAAUUUCGAGAUGUUCUAAGGCAGUAAAUACACUCUCUCCUCAGACUCAAAUGACGGCACAGCCUUAUUUGUGACUAUAGCUUCUCAUAAGAACCAUCCCCUAAGAUCAAUUUGAAAUAAAUAACUCCCCCCCCCGCACCGGUCUUGUUUCUUACUUUCCUUGAGUAUUAACUGACUCUGACCAAAAGAAAAUCCAGUUCUGCGGGCAGGGAAAGGGGCUUGGGUAGCUCAAUACUAAAUCAUUUUGACAGGUCAGAUUUUAAUGUGGGCUUUCUAUCUUAACUGACACAAAGCAGAGAUAGUUCUUUCGUUUACUGUUUAAGUUGGGGUUAAAACCAACUACAUGUUAAUUAAAAGUGCAAAAUAGAUACGAAGUUCCUCUAACAAACCUGAGGCUCUAAGUCUCAUUCAAUAAAGUAACAGAUUCAGCCCCAAUUUCGUGGAUUCAAAAUCCAAGUAGUUAGUUUUCUAAGAAACAAAAAGGUUUUAUCAAAUACCCAUUUAUGGUCCAUUUGACGCUGCCUGCGGGUCAUCAGAGUAAAUGGAUUUUUGUUAAGCUGACUUUUUGUGUAUUUUUUUCCCUUGUGUAAAGUUUUUACCUUAAUUAACUUAGUUUCAAUCUCCCCAUCGGAGGCUAGUUCCUGGUGGGUCAGCAUGUACUUCUCACACUUAGCUAGGGCCUUUUCACUUGGAACAGACACAGUGAUGGCAUGAGGGACAUGUGGCUGCAUGACUGUCUCAGUCUGCACGUUAGAGGCGGGCUUAUGAUCUACCCAUCUGUCUCCUGCGGAGCGCGACCGUCUGUGUCUCAGACGAAUUGGUGGUGCGUUCUGAUCAGGUCGGAAGAGGAAUCAAGAAACAAGCACAACCCAGAAUUAAUUUCAGGGUACCAUUAGAAGUGCAGCAGGUUUGGCUACAAUAUCAAGACAAAUGCAUGAACCUUUCAAAAGCUAAAUGUUACUCAAGCAAUUUAAAUAUUCUCUUUGUAUUAAACACAAAAGCAACAAACAUCUUUUAAUACCAGCUGUGUAAUUAUUAUAUAUUCUACCAGGGAGCUUCCCUUCAAACAAAGAGUGGAAGGAAGGUUCUGCUGGUCUUUGCUGCGUAGGUGGUUUUCAGGGCGAAGAACUGAUUCUGCAUUCUCCAUCAAAAGCCAGUGUUUGUGCCUGCUAUUGUGAGGUUACCUAUUUUGUCCACAACUAUGUUCAAAGCUUCGAAAAGAUCAAUAAAAGCCCUAAACACACCAUAGGCCUCUAAACUAAAGAGAAAAUAUUCCUUUUACAAAACAGGACCCCCCCCCCCAAAAAUGCCGAUGGAGCUGCAGAGCACAAAAUGCCAAAGAACAUGAGGUGUAGUAAGAGUCCCACGAAUAAACUGCUAGAAGAAUGUAAAUGACUAAAUAACGUUCUUCUGAGCACUUUAAACACCUCGGAACAGAACUUCCUGAAGAGUUCAAACACAGUAAUGGCCAAAACAUACCAACUUUCCCCCCAAAUAUUUAAGGUUCCAAGAACCAGAUAAAGAAUAGUGUCAAAUCAGUCUCUAUCGUACAAAAAAAAGCUAGAUCCUUCCAGUAAAAUGUAUGUAAAUUUAGGAAAGUUAAAUUUAGCACAUUCAGCUUAAGAAAAAAAAAUUCACAUACAGAACAUAGUUAACAGUUUGAAGCAAUGAGUUUAUCUGUGUAACUUUGCAAACGUCUUCUGUUUGCAAAACUGAAAGCAAACGAGACCAUCUGCCACAGGUCAGAGCCUGCAUAGCUGGUCAGGUGCGAACAUCUGACUUCAAAGUGCAUCUCUGGAGAACGGAAGAGUUUUCCCUGCACAGUUUCAAGAAACAAAUGAAGCAAUGGUGACAGAGCAUGAUACUAAACCACAGGCGAUAGUUUGCGCUAAGGAUGCCCGAGCCUCAGGACAAGCCGGAAGCUUCCCAUUCUGAAAAUGGCUCAACUGAACAAGAAAGAAAGGGGCUCUCCUGACCUUCCAUGUAGUAAAUAAACAGUCACGCCAUCUGAACAGACUGCCCACACUACGCGGCCGCACAGCUUCGGACGACUUACCGGGACGGGGGGUGGGGAAGCGGACCUCGGAGUCACCUUCUCUCGAUCCCGCUCCCGAGACGGC